rnacentral:rRNA from 1 species
AGUGAACGCUGGCGGUAGGCUUAACACAUGCAAGUCGAACGGCAGCACACUAAGAGCUUGCUCUUACGGGUUGCCGAUGGCGGACGGGUCACGUAUAUAACGUACUCUACACUUUCGUGUAGGUUCACGUAGCUGAACCUACUCCAAUAUCGCAUCCCAUCUUGCGGUGAAAGGAUGGGAUCUUUUCGGCUUUCGCGAAUGGAUGCGCCGCUGACGAGGUUGCUAGUUGGCGGGGUGAUUACCCACCAAGUCGACGAUCCGUAGCUGGUCUGAGAGGAGGAUCAGCCACACUGGAAGUGAGACACGGUCCAGACGCCUACGGGAGGGAGCAGUGGGGAAUAUUAGACAGUGGGCGCAAGCCUGAUCCAGCGAUACCGCGUGGGUGAAGAAGGCGUUCGGGUUGGAAAGCCCUUUUGUUGGGAAAGAAAAGCAGCAGGUUGAUACCCAGCUGUUCUGACGGUACCGAGAGAAUAAGCACCGGCUAACUUCGUG